rnacentral:lncRNA from 1 species
GAGAAACCCUGGGUUAGGAUGGUGAAACACUUAGUCAUUAAGGAAAUUAACUUUUCACCUCUUGGAAGGAGGAGGAUUAUACUCAAGUCAGGAAGGAAGCCUAACAAGACAACGGGAAUCUGAUUGACAGACUGGAAAAACAGGUUGGGGGAGAUAUUACUGAAAAGCCUACUGUUGCGGUCCUUUAACGGACCAGAACCUGGUGGUCUGGAGUCGACAAUAAGAAACUGAAAGAAAGAAAGAAGCUAAUAUUCCCUGGUUUAUGCCUAGAACCAAUAAAACCCUAAAACAGGGCUUGCACCCCUCACGAAGGCAGAGGGCGCCCUCUUGAGGAGGUCUUGAAAGCCCGGGCAGGAGAGUGAGUUCGGCUGGUUUCCAACUCCAGAGAAUGAGCUGGAGGAAGGGAGAGAGAGAGAGGGAGAGGGGAAGAGAGAGAAAGAAAGAUACGGGGACUCAAGCCUCUGGUGGAGCAAGGCUGCUUUAAUGGUCUUUCUGUGAGUGUAUAUAGGCUGUUAUACAAGGAAUUUCUUUCGACAACGAUAAAGAUCAGAAACCCAAAACGUACAGCAAUCGUUAUCAAGGGAACAAGGGAUUAACAGUGGUCAUAAGGUCAGGAGACAAUCCGUAUCUCAAUAAAGAAGAUUGAGACUAAGCAGUUUUGUUGUAAGGAGAAUGUUUACUGCAGGAGAUUCAUGCCUGUGUUUCAUCCUAUGAUCUCAGUCCUGGGACUGGCGUGCCAUUCCACUCGUUCCUGUUGCCAGGAAGUGAUAAGGAACAGAGGAUUUAUGAGGAACACCACGCAGGAGUCCUCCUGGUAAACGUUUCCUGACAGCCUACAGCACAUCAAUCGGGUAAAUUCUGAAAAGGCCGGCUCUACCUGGAGGUAGGAAGGGCCAACCAGUAGGAACUUCCUGGAAACGAUGGGUGGCUUGAGUUAUGUUCCUAAGUGGCCAUGAGCUCAGAAGGUCUCACUCGGGACACUCUGGAAUCAGGACUGAGUGCGAGACCAGAGCAGGUCAAAAGCAAGUGAUGUGGAAGCCACAGCCAAGCUCAAGUCUUCUGAGCCAUAAAUCAAAUACCCACGUGGGAGCAGUGACACGGGAUGUGUCAAUAGUUAUCGAAAUGUGAAAGCACGUCACAGCACCGACACCGAGUUUUCUUCAUUCACACCUCCCCACCUCUCCACCUCCCCCUCCCCACCAGGGCUUUCUGAUCCUCCUGCCCAAAGGCUGAGCUGGAGUUUGUUUUUUAGCUCAUGGUCUUAUGAAAGGGCUUCCCUGGUGGCUCAGUGGUAAAUAAUCUGCCUGCAAUGCAAGGGAUGCUGAAGAUGCAAGUUCAACCCCUGGGUUGGGAAGAUCCCCCAGAGGGGGAAAUGGCAACCCGCUCCUGUAUUCUUGCCUGGAGAAUCCCACGGACAGAGGAGCCUGGCGGGCUACUGUCCAUGGAUUCACAAAAAAGGCAGACAUGACUGAGUGGCUGAACAACAACUAAUCUUAUAAAAAGGUAUAUCUAUUUUUAAAAUAGGUUGACUUGAUUAUUUAGUAUGGAAAUGUAUUCAAAGUAUUUAAUUAAAUCAAAGUAUUUCAAAUUACAUAUUAGCAGAGUGUAUCUGAACACAUGUCAUCAAAUGAGACUACCUGCAUGGUUUCCAAAGGAUUGUCUGCAAAAUGUACAGGCUGCUUGGAAUGGCAUUAAGAGGUAAUUCAAAAGCUAAAAAUUAUUGUAAGCACUUAUUUUAAAAUAAAGUUUAAUUUUCACUUUAACA